rnacentral:lncRNA from 10 species
CCCGAUUCCACGGGUUCCCAGGAGGCGGAUUCCACGGGUUCCCAGGAGGCGGAUUCCACGGGUUCCCAGGACGCGGAUUCCACGGGUUCCCAGGACGCGGAUUCCACGUGGCCGAACCCACUCCACGACUCCUGCCAAGCCCGAACGGAGUGAGCCGCCUCCUCGGAACCACAAAAGUGGCAGCAUUUAUGGGACGCCUAGUGGAUACCAGGCCCCGUGUUUAACAACCUGCUGUCUAGAGUUAGGGAUGUAUCCCCAGUGGCAAGGUAACAUCAAGUGUUCAAACCAAAGAAUUUGUUAAAUGAUCUUCCAAGGUUGAGGGGGAGGUAGUGGGGGGUCGUGUGCCCCUUGAUGGAUGCAAGGCUGUUUCUGGGCCAUUUUCUGCUCGGUUUCAUUCAAAAGUAACAUGCAGGACAGGCGCUGUGGCUCACGCCUGGAAUCCCAGCAUUUUGGGAGGCCGAGUCGGGCAGAUCACUUGAGGUCAGGAGUUCGAGACCAGCCUGGCCAACAUGGUGAAACCCAGUCUCUACUAAAAAUACAAAAAAUUAGCUGGGCGUGGUGGCGCACACCCGUAGUCCCAGCUGCUCGGGAGGCUGAGGCAGAAGAAUCACUUGAACCCAGGAGGCAGAGGUUGCAGUGAGCCGAGAUCGCGCCACUGCACUCCAGCCUGGGUGACAGAGCAAGACUCGGUCUCAAAAACAAAACAAAAAAACCCCAAAAGUAACAUGCACGGGGGGCUUUUCCAUGGGCCACCCCUGGGCUGGGUAUAAUAAAAAGCUCACACCUGUGUGCUCCAGCCCCUGCUGCAUCUGGCACACAUCCUGGGUACCCCGUGUGCCUUGUCCCUGGCCUUGUGUGUGUGGUUCCUGGCCCCCUUUUCACCCUUCACACUUGGCCCAUGCCUCCUCCUCCAGGAAGUCUGUCCUGAUUCCUGGCCAACCGGGACCACCACCUUGAGACUCUUGUUACUCUGGAAGGGGACCAUGUCUGUGGUCACAGCUAUGACCCUAUACCAGCAUUUGCUGAUGAGAGGCCUACCAAGCUUGGUCAAGGUGGGGGGGUGGGGGGGCAGCCCCAGGGUCCAUCUAACAACCCAAGACAGGGAAGAAGAGACAGGUCUUUAAUGUACGGAGUCUCACAAGGCACAAACACCC